CUUUAGACAGAAAGGCCUCCAAACUAGAGGGCUGCGGCAACAGAGACAAUAAACCAGAGUCGCCUCCACCCUGACCCACCACCCCCAUGUGAGCCACCUCGCCCGUUUUACUUGGGGACUUUAGGGAAUUCCUAUCUUGAGGGGAGAGUCGUUACAAACUUAGCCAGCUUGACUCAUCGGCCUCCUUAAGAAGGGACCUCCAGGCUCCUUGCGGAGGGCUGAUGCCUGCCGGCAGUUCUGAGCGUGGGAUUCUGGGAUUCGGGGGAUAAUCGCAGCGCUGGGGUUACAGGACGUGAGCUGGAGGACCUUACAACUCCCCGCAGCCCUGAUGUCUCCCUUGUAUACUGGUUUAGGAAGAGGGACCACUGAACUCCUGGCCCCAGCACUAUCGUCCUGCAAUCACUCCCGCUACUCAGAACACAGGUGCUCUGUGCCUUUAGCUCAGCCUUCCUCUCCAUCCUGUGGCCUGUCAUCGUCCACGGUGGCUUCAACCUUCUUCCCAAUUUCCACCCUCAGGGGUGCUUCCACCCCGACUCUGGCCGCAUCCCAGAACACGAGAUCUGUGUUGAAGCAUAGAUUUUGAGAAGCUGGAAACAUGAUUCUCACACACAGGGUCUCCCUUGCAGCCAGGACACCCUUCACAAGGACACCAGAGGGGAACAUUAAAGGAAGAGAGAAAGAACUGAAAAAGAUGGUUCCUGCAAGUCUAUCCUUUCACCCUGGCGCUUUUACAUGCAGAAGGUGACUGCCAUCCCAAUUCAGGUCACCCUCCCCCUUUCAAGAGAAGACUGUGUAUUAUGAUCACUGAUUCCCCCAUGCAAAGUUCAGUCAUCAUUAUGUGAAAACCAGUCAACAGCAGCUUGCUAAGCCCCAUUCACAUGCCAGAUGACACUGGCCUAUGUGCUUUACAUUAAAAAAAAAAAUUCCAGCUUUAUUGAGGUAUAAUUGACAAUAAAUUGUAAGACAGGUUAAGACAUGGUAUGAUCUGAUGUAUGUAUACAUUGUGAAAGAGCUCCACCGUCUGGUUAUAAUUAUCAUAUCCAUCACUUCACAGAUUUAUCUUUGUG